GUCUACAGCCAUGCCCUGAAAAAGUCUGAUCCUGUCUGAUCUUGGUAGCUAAACAGGAUCAGAUCUGGUUAGUAUUUCGAUGGGAGACCACCUAGGAAGACCAGGUGCUGCAGGCG
rnacentral:rRNA from 1 species